AGAAAAAGUGAGAGAUAAGCAGUGUCAGCGUCAAAGCCCAGAAAUGCAGAAGGUCCUGAGGCCUGCCAGAAAUGACGCCCAGGGCAGCAGGGCCACAGUCACUCACUCUCAGGUCUCUGUAGGUUCCUUUUGCUUCCGUUGCAGCUGUGCAAGUCUACGAAAUUGUCUUCUGGGCCUGGUACCUAGCAUUACCUAGCACUUCAGCUUUUCUCAGACAGGGCUUUUUCUACAAACACAUCAUGAUCUGCACUGAGCUCGCUGGACUAGACAACCCUAUUUUCAACCCAAUGAUGGAAAACUUACAUUCAAGCACCAUUAGCACUAGAACAUUUCUGCAAAAAUAAAAUGUUACACCAAGAA
rnacentral:lncRNA from 1 species